rnacentral:lncRNA from 1 species
CGAAGCAGGCCAUGAAGAGGUCAGCCACCGCCAGGUUGACCAGGAUGUAGUUGAGCGGCUGCCGGAGCUUCUUGUGUUUGAAGGUGACCAGGAGGGUGAGGAGGUUGAUGGGCAGACCAGUGGAGAUGAGGAAGAAGAUGUAGCAACACACAAGGCGGUAUUUCCAGGGCUCGGCUAGAGCAAACCUUCUCCUCUCCACAUUCCAGCUAAUGCAUGGUAUGACUUUGGCUUCAUGCUUGGCACCCAGAUACCUUUCACAUGCAGGAUUGCCAACAGUGGGACCAAGAGGACUUUCACUUGGACUUGACCUGGACUUCUCCCACUCUGGGGAGCUGAACAUGGAGCAGGUAAGC